UAAUUUGAAACUUACAGAUAGAACAUGGACUGAUUUUAAAAAUAUAGUGACUCAUAAUCGUCACCUUCUUCCUCCAGGUUUAACCAAGUUGAAGCAAUACAAAAAAUUGACAUAUCCAGAACAGGUUGUAUAUUCUGAAACCGAAGUAAAAUGUAGUCUUUGCCAUAUGAUAAAGCAUUCAGUUAUAGAGUGUUUGAAUAUCUUUUGGAUUAUGAAAGUAACUGCAUAAUGAGUUUAUCACAAGAAGAGCGUGAUAAUGUACAAAUUAUUUGCAAAGUAGGAGGUGAUGGUCAAAGUGAUCAAUCUGAGUUUCAAAAUUCAGCAACUAUAAAAAGAGGUGUAGAUGAUUGCUCUGUGUAUAGUAUAGUGUUUGUACUACUGGAGAUCCGAAGUGGAGAAAAAAUAAUAUGGAAAAAUUUAAUUCCAAAUAGUCUAGAUGCAACCCAUCAUCUUUUUUGUUUUGCAAAAGAGACUGCUAGUUUUAUUCAGGAAAAAUUUGAACAUUUGAAAAAUGAAAUUUUUUUAUUGAAAAAUAUUGAAUUUAAAUUUGGUGAAAGUACUUUUGUAGUAAAGUCUAGUUUGUCAACUAUUUAUACCACAAUGAAUGAUGGCAAAACACUAAACGCUGUUGUAUCAAAUAUGCUUAAAAAAAAAAAUUUCAUCUCAGUCCUGCCAUGUACGCCUUGCAAAUUCUAAGGAGUUUAACUUGAAAACUAUUUGGAAAAAAAUAUUUAUUUAAACAAGCAUGUUUUGAAACUUGGAAUUUGCAGUCUUCAUCUAUGGAUGCGCUGUAUGGAUUUUCAAUACUGCUUGUAAACUCCCAGCUGUUAAGCAAGGAAGAAAUAUUCCAUCGCAAAAGAGUAAAGAAUUUAUUGAAAACAAAUAAAAAUUCCAGCAUUUAUUCAAGAUACAACUGAAUCUAAGGGUUUCUUUUGUCAGGAAAGGAUGUGGAACAACCAAUACUGGAAAUGUUGUUCGCAAAUUUUUUAAUAACCCGAUUGUAACAGGGAGAAUUUUAAACUUGGAUAUCAGAAUGAUUAGGUUGUUUCGAGAUUUACUCAAUGAUAUAAACAGAACAACUAAAAGACCGGAUAUAAAGGUUUUCAAACAGAAAUCUGAACAUCUAUUUGCACUCAUAACUAAUGAUAAAUUUUUAAAAAAACCAUACCUAUGUCACAAUCUGUGCAUAGAGUGAUAGUUCAUGGUACUUCUUUUAUAAGGUAUUUUAAGUAUCCGAUAAGUUUUUUGUCUGAGAGUGCUAUUGAAGCCAGAAGCAAGGAAAGAAAUAAGGAAAACAAAACUGCUCGAAUUGGUCAUGCUCGUUUAACCUCUUUUGCAGAAAACACUAGGGAUACAGCUAAUUAUUUGUUUAUGACAUCUGAUAUGUACCUCUUUUGCAAAAAAAAUAAAAUGAAUAAAAAAAGAGUGAAAACAAAAUAGUUUAAGAAAGCAAAGUGACAGUUCUUCUGAUAACUGCUUAAAAUAAAGGAAGUAAGACCAUGAAGAACCAUACUGAUGAGCUGUUCUGCGUUGAAUUUUU